UAAUUUAUACAGUUUAUUUAUUAUGAAUUAAAAAAAAAUAAAUUUUAAUUUGGUUUAUUCAAUUAAUUUAUAAAGUUAUUAUAUGUAAAUUUUUGUUUUGAUUUUAGAUAAUAUUUUAAGCAGUAAUUAGAUUUAAAUAUAUAAGUAAUUAUGAUUUAGUCAUUUAUAUUAGUAUUAACAAAAUUUGUGCCAGCAGUUGCGGUUAUACAAAUAAUGCAAUUAAUUUUUAUUAGUUAAUAAUAAGUUAUUUAUAAUAUAAUAUAAAUUUAAAUUUAUUAGGUGAAAUUAAAAAUUUAAAUUAAUUAUUUAAAAAUUUAUGAUUUAUGAAAUUUAUAUAUAAACUAGGAUUAGAUACCCUAUUAUUUUAAAUGUAAAUUAAUUACUAAGUUAGUUAUAGUUAUGAUCUUAAAAGUUAAAAAUUUUGGCGGUAUUUUAGUCUAUUUAGAGGAACCUGUUUAGUAAUUGAUAAUCCACAAUUUAUUAAAUUUAUUUUAAUUAGUUUGUAUAUCGUCGUUAAUGAAUAUUUUAUAAGAAUAAUAAUAUUCAAAAUUUAUAAUUUUUAAAUAAGUCAGAUCAAGGUGCAGCUUAUAAGUAAAAUUAAAAUGGGUUACAAUAAAGAUAUUUAUGGAUAAUUAAUUGAAAAUUAAUUUGAAAUUGGAUUUAAUAGUAAUAAAAUUUAAUUUAAUUUUAUGAUUUAAGCUCUAAAAUAUGUACAUAUUGCCCGUCACUCUCGUAUAAAAUGAGAUAAGUCGUAACAAAGUAGAUGUACUGGAAAGUGUAUCUAGAAAGAC
rnacentral:ncRNA from 1 species